rnacentral:rRNA from 1 species
ACUCCUACGGGAGGCAGCAGUGGGGAAUAUUGCACAAUGGGCGCAAGCCUGAUGCAGCCAUGCCGCGUGUAUGAAGAAGGCCCUUCGGGUUGUAAAGUACUUUCAGCAGUGAGGAAGGCGGGUACGUUAAUAGCGUGCUUGUUUGACGUUAGCUGCAGAAGAAGCACCGGCUAACUCCGUGCCAGGCAGCCGCGGUAAUACGGAGGGUGCGAGCGUUAAUCGGAAUUACUGGGCGUAAAGCGCAUGCAGGUGGUUUGUUAAGUCAGAUGUGAAAGCCCGGGGCUCAACCUCGGAAUUGCAUUUGAAACUGGCAGACUAGAGUACUGUAGAGGGGGGUAGAAUUUCAGGUGUAGCGGUAGAAAUGCGUAGAGAUCUGAAGGAAUACCGGUGGCGAAGGCGGCCCCCUGGACAGAUACUGACACUC